rnacentral:rRNA from 1 species
CCUACGGGAGGCAGCAGUGAGGAAUAUUGGUCAAUGGCCGGGAGGCUGAACCAGCCAAGUCGCGUGAGGGAAGACGGCCCUACGGGUUGUACACCUCUUUUGUCAGGGUGCAAGGUGCAGGUCGGGACCUGCUGUGAGAGUACCUGAAGAAAAAGCAUCGGCUAACUCCGUGCAAUCAGCCGCGGUAAUACGUGGGAUGCGAGCGUUCUCCGGAUUUAUUGGGUUUAACGGGUGCGCAGGCGGAGGCACAAGUCAGCGGUAAAAUCGCGGGGCUCAACCCCGCUCCGCCUUUGAAACUGUGUGCCUUGAGUGCGCGAAGGGUAGGCGGAAUGCGUGGUGCAGCGGUGAAAUGCAUAGAUAUCACGCAGAACUCCGAUCGCGAAGGCAGCCUACCGGCGCGCAACUGACGCUCAUGCACGAAAGCGUGGGUAUCGAACAGGAUUAGAUACCCGAGUAGUC